GCCCGGGUGGCGAAACUGGUAGACGCAGGGGACUUAAAAUCCCCCGGCCGCAAGGCCAUGCCGGUUCGACUCCGGCCCCGGGCACCA
rnacentral:tRNA from 1 species